CAAAAUUCAAGGAGUAUUUAUUAGGUAAUUUCAAAUAAGCAAAUUCGGAUUAACCGAUCCAUCGAAGCUCAAGUUUCUUAGACCGACUUCUUGGUGGUCUUUGCAUCUUAGACAAACCUAAUUAAGGCCAAUUAAGAUCCAAACAAAACGAACAAAACGAUGGGUCCGACAGCCACACCAACAACAAUUGACAAUCAAAAUGUUAGGGCAAUAAAUCAAUAGGCUAUACUCCGUUUGCUGGUUAAGAACUUCACCGACAAAGUUAACUAGCAAAUUCUUCAACGGCAUAGAAUACAUUGCAAUUAGGGCAUUUAUACUGCAUCAUAAACUUUGGACAUGGGAAAAUCGCAGUGGAUGUUUUAUACAAAGGCUCAUUUCUUUUUUUUUUUUUUGUCCGAAAAAAGUGUUAUUGAGAUAAGCUAGAGAGAUUACGGGUGCUUCUCGGGUACGUCGGAAGUCACUUUGUUGUUGAUCUCGCUUUGUUGAGCGUCUUUCUUUGUUCCGAAAACAAAGUCUUUCACCGACUUUUCAGUUGAUUUUAUAGCCCUUUUUAUCUGUUCGAGAAAAUUAGGUUCGGGGCCAUAAUCAGCAGUGAGGAGAAAAUAAGAAGCAGUGACAGUGGCGAUCAUGGUCGUCCUCCUCACCAAUUUGUCGGUUUUUGGGUCCAUUUUUUUUUAUUUUUUUCACAGUUCAAAUUUAUCUUCAAUUUUGGGGGAGCGGUGAAAC